UUUUCCCUGGCCGGCACCCAAGCGUCCGGGUGCUUCCAUACAUGGGCACCGAGGGGCCCGCGAGGGGAGACGUCACGGCGUGGGGGGGCCGCACCCAGUCCCGGCCAUGGACGACCUGGACGCCCUCUUGGCCGACCUGGAGACGACGACGUCGCACCUCGCCCGGCGGCCGGUGCUGCUGACGGACCCGCUGGGGGGGUUGCCCCCCACACACCCGGCCUCUACCCCCGCUGGGGACCCCCCCCGGCCACCCCCACCCCCCUAUGGCCCAGCGCCAGGGGGGGACACCGAGCAGCUCUACAG